GUGCAGCAGGCGAGAAACUUCACACUGUGCGAAAGCACGAUGAGGGAAUCCCAAGUGCUUGCACGUAAGUGUAAGCUGUUUCUCUGUUUAAAACGCAGAGAGAGUAAGGGCUGGGUAAGACGGGUGCCAGCCGCCGCGGUAAUACCUGCAGCCCAAGUGGUGACCCUUAUUAUUGGGCCUAAAACGUCCGUAGCCGGUUUAAUAAAUGCCUGGGUAAAUCGUGUAGCUUAACUAUACGAAUUCCGGGUAGACUGUUAAACUCGAGACCGGGAGAAGUUAGAGGUACUCCUGGGGUAGAGGUGAAAUUCUGUAAUCCUAGGGGGACCACCAGUGGCGAAGGCUGUCGGCUAGAACGAGCUCGACGGUGAGGGACGAAAGCUGGGGGAGCGAACCGGAUUAGAUACCCGCGUAG
rnacentral:rRNA from 1 species